UACGUAGGGGGCAAGCGUUAUCCGGAUUUACUGGGUGUAAAGGGAGCGUAGACGGCAGCGCAAGUCUGGAGUGAAAUCCUAUGGCUUAACCAUAGAACUGCAUUUGAAACUGCUUCCCUUGAGUAUCGGAGAGGUCAUCGGAAUUCCUAGUGUAGCGGUGAAAUGCGUAGAUAUUAGGAAGAACACCAGUGGCGAAGGCGGAUGACUGGACGACAACUGACGGUGAGGCGCGAAAGCGUGGGGAGCAAACAGG
rnacentral:rRNA from 1 species